GGGGGCGAAUGGAUUCGACCGGGUGUUGUGAAAGGGUAGCGGCGUGCCGAGGUCGCCGGUGGGCCUCGUUAAUCAACCGGCAAAAACUUUACAUGCCAACUAUCCGUUGAGCAUGGCUGCGUAGUAACGCGGCCCGUCUGGUCGGCGACGCCUGCUAGCUGACUCGACGACGAUAGCAGGCUGGCACUCGUGCGACGCCUGACCGCACGGGAGCGAGAAAACAGUCGGGCUGGCCAAUCCCGGAGCCUGUCGAUCGGCGCCGGAAGCGGCGAGAUUCAAAUGAUCAGACUACGCACGUAGAACCUAUCCCGGAUCCACCGCGGGACGGGGGUUCGAUUCCCCCCGCCUCCAUUG
rnacentral:tmRNA from 1 species